UACAGAGGUCUCAAGCGUUGUUCGGAUUCAUUGGGCGUAAAGGGUGCGUAGGCGGCGCGGUAAGUCGGGUGUGAAAUCUUGGAGCUUAACUCCGAAACUGCAUUCGAUACUGCCGUGCUUGAGGACUGGAGAGGAGACUGGAAUUUACGGUGUAGCGGUGAAAUGCGCAGAUAUCAGGAGGAACACCCGUAGCGAAGGCGGCACUCUGGGCCGAUUCUGACACUGAGGAGCGAAAGCGUGGGGAGCGAACAGG
rnacentral:rRNA from 1 species